rnacentral:rRNA from 1 species
CCUANGGGAGGCUGCAGUCGAGAAUCUUCGGCAAUGGGGGAAACCCUGACCGAGCGACGCCGCGUGCGAGAUGAAGGCCUUCGGGUUGUAAAUCGCUGUCAGAGGGGAGGAAAUGCCGGUGGGUUCUCCCAUCGGUUUGACCUAUCCUCAGAGGAAGGACGGGCUAAGUUCGUGCCAGCAGCCGCGGUAAGACGAACCGUCCAAACGUUAUUCGGAAUCACUGGGCUUAAAGGGUGCGUAGGCGGUCCGGGAAGUUGGGUGUGAAAGCCCUCGGCUCAACCGAGGAAUUGCGCCCAAAACUGCCGGGCUCGAGGGAGACAUAGGUGAGCGGAACUUAGGGUGGAGCGGUGAAAUGCGUUGAGAUCCUAAGGAACACCAGUAGCGAAAGCGGCUCACUGGGUCUCUUCUGACGCUGAUGCACGAAAGCUAGGGGAGCGAAGAGGAUUAGAUACCCCGNUANUC